rnacentral:rRNA from 1 species
UACGGGGGGGCAAGCGUUGUUCGGAAUUACUGGGUGUAAAGGGCUCGUAGGCGGCCAACUAAGUCAGACGUGAAAUCCCUCGGCUUAACCGGGGAACUGCGUCUGAUACUGGAUGGCUUGAGUUUGGGAGAGGGAUGCGGAAUUCCAGGUGUAGCGGUGAAAUGCGUAGAUAUCUGGAGGAACACCGGUGGCGAAGGCGGCAUCCUGGACCAACACUGACGCUGAGGAGCGAAAGUCAGGGGAGCAAACGGG